CUAUAGAGAGGGAGCAACUGAGACCCCUUCCAAUACUGAAGUCCUUUAUUUCUGCUACUUUAGAAAUAUCCACAUUUUUGGUAAAUUCAAAUGAUCAAAUGAUUCUAUUCCCUAAUGUUCAAAACUAGCCCCAGAAGCAUCUAAAUGAAUCAAACCAAUAAAAUAUUUAUUGUGUAUGUUUUGAUUGUUGAAACUUCUACUUUUAAUGUGUGUGUGUUGAAACUUCUACACAUACAUUAAAAAAAAAAAAAAAACCACAGGUUUUCCUCUUUCCUUAGAUAAACGGGUCUUCCUGUGUGGCCAUUUAAGUUAUAAUGGAGUAAAUGAUUUCCAGCUCGCCGUUUGCAGCAGUCAGGUGGGUCCCUCCUAGGUGGCAGCAGCCCUCCUGACAUGAUUUCCUGUGUGUUGUCAUGUUACCACUGCAGCUUAACUAAGGAAGCAAGAACAAAACAGCCUCUGGUGCCAAGAGACUGUUGGAGGCAAAGGUUUCAGUCCUGAAAACGUCACACCUAGGGAGCCCAAGAGCUCAGCCCUGACCUUUUCUCCAGUAGUAACACGAGAAACCACAGGUACUGGCUUUGUUUCGGAUACAAAACAAGUGGUGCUUUUCCUUCAAUCUUCCGUCAGUCAGGUCUACUCCUUCAUGGAUGCCCUGACCUCCAUGGUUCCUACUUGAGUCCCUGCUUCCAUAUUCUUGCACUUCUCACUUGGAAAUGUCUCUGGAGUCUGUUAAGCAGCCAUGUUUGGAAGUUCCUGGUGUGCAGGCGGAUGUGUGCACGUCCUCUAUCUCAACAGGACACGAGCUCCCCAAGAUCAGACAGGCCCAGAGUCUCCACUUGCUAGAGGCAGAGAGGAUGGAGAGCCCUCUGGCUUAUUAGUUGAAGGACACCACAGUUGGGCAAGAAACCACAAGCCUGCACUGAGGCCCAGCCUUGGAAUAGAAGCACCUGUCGCCACCUGUGGUCUGGGGACAGGGUCACAGGACAGAUGGUCAUCCUAA
rnacentral:lncRNA from 13 species